rnacentral:misc_RNA from 1 species
UGAUUUUAUCAUUUCUAUAAAGCUAUGGCCCUUCUGUCCUGACGGCUGAGAGGAAGAGAGAGAGCUGAAACUAUUGAGAUGUGCGUUUGUUGACGACUGUGACGGCCUCUCCGACGACGUCCAAUGCCCCGCCUUCACCGCCGCUUCUCUUACAAUGUUGGAUCUUUCUCCCUCAUUCUCCUUCCUUGUCUUUCCCUUCUUCAAUGCAGAUUCUUCCCACAGGGUGAAUCCACUCCCGGUAUAAGAACUGCAGUUGGAA